GCUCAACCGGGGAGGGUCAUUGGAAACUGGGGAACUUGAGUGCAGAAGAGGAGAGUGGAAUUCCACGUGUAGCGGUGAAAUGCGUAGAGAUGUGGAGGAACACCAGUGGCGAAGGCGACUCUCUGGUCUGUAACUGACGCUGAGGCGCGAAAGCGUGGGGAGCGAACAGGAUUAGAUACCCUGGUAGUCCACGCCGUAAACGAUGAGUGCUAAGUGUUAGAGGGUUUCCGCCCUUUAGUGCUGCAGCAAACGCAUUAAGCACUCCGCCUGGGGAGUACGGUCGCAAGACUGAAACUCAAAGGAAUUGACGGGGGCCCGCACAAGCGGUGGAGCAUGUGGUUUAUUUCGAAGCAACGCGAAGAACCUUACCAGGUCUUGACAUCCUCUGACAACCCUAGAGAUAGGGCUUCCCCUUCGGGGGCAGAGUGACAGGUGGUGCAUGGUUGUCGUCAGCUCGUGUCGUGAGAUGUUGGGUUAAGUCCCGCAACGAGCGCAACCCUUGAUCUUAGUUGCCAGCAUUCAGUUGGGCACUCUAAGGUGACUGCCGGUGACAAACCGGAGGAAGGUGGGGAUGACGUCAAAUCAUCAUGCCCCUUAUGACCUGGGCUACACACGUGCUACAAUGGGCAGAACAAAG
rnacentral:rRNA from 1 species